AUGAAAGUGUGCCUACUCUCAGCCGCAGUAAGUCUGAGAACCGGAGAGGGAUUUAGCAUUCCUCUUUCCACCCCGGCUGACCGGGAAGGGUGUCAGGUGGAUCUACCCCAGUCAUAGCAGGACUGGGCAAUAGAGUAGUUGGAGAAAAGGGAAGAGUUGUGUACUUGAUAACUAGAAUUGAGCAAUUAAGAGCAUAGCUCAUGAACCAGGCAGCAACUCAAACCUACGCCCAGGGCAAGUUGCAAGCCUUGAGACAGGACUUCCAGGCAGAAAAGGAAGCACUGGCUAAGCAAGUACCGGUCCUUCAGGGACUUGUCAGAAUUUAACCAUUUGUGUUUGCAUAUGCUGUAAGAGCAGUGUGUUUGCCACAAGAGAAAAUUGAAUAGUUAAAUGCCAAUGGGUCAUGCGUUUUGCCCAAGUGGCAAGCCUCACGAGGGAGGACUCGGGUAGCCUUGUGAGUAAGAAUGUUUAAGAGAAGAGACCAGGAAGGGUGGGGGCUAGUUGAGAAGCCCACCCUCCUAGCUAAAUUGGUAGUGAAAAAGCUGGUGCCCAUGGAAGGGACGGUUCAGCGAGAAAAGCAGGAUCGGGCCCAAGCGGGCAGGCAAUAGAUAGAGAGAUUGGAGAACAGGUUGGAAACUUUGAGGGCAUAGUGGAAGGAAAGGAGUAAGUAAUUAUAAGCAUGGGGAUUUCAAAUCCCCAGGAUAAUAAUUGAAAUGGUAAAAUGUGUGUAAGACAGAGUCUUUGUACCAAGGUGCAAGGCUCUCCUUUCUUCUGCUGAAUAAAGCAACUCUUCCUUAUCCCUGUCUGGCUGUUACUGGCUCUCAGCUAGGUGGACCCGAUAUUUUGGUGACAGUUACUGGCAACUCCGGUUAAUGAAUUUCUGUCUUAUACAUUUAGGUGUUAGGUGUGUGGACGGAACUGAGCCUCUUAUUUGUAAUUCCUCAGAGUGGAAGCCAUCGCGUGCAAUGAAGCUCUGAGGUUGAAUUGGGAUCCUUCUGUCCCGUCCCCUGUAGCGGUCAGUAUUAGUAGAAAUUCCUGUAAUAGGAUCCUAUUAGGCCAUAAUUCCCUCUGUUCUCUGUGUAAUUCUCUGUUAGAGUAUCAGCAGGCAGAUGGGUGGGUCUCUGGUAAAACCCUCUAAGGAUAGCCCUUUGAAUUAUAUGUUAAGUAAAUGGCUUUUACCCAGUGUUCAGGAAAGAAUAAAGAUUUGAAUUUGUUUUUGGGUAACAAAAUAGCAGAUAAAAGAUCUGGUAAAAAGAGAGAGAAGGACAGUGCCCCUGGCUCUGUGUGGUCGAGCUGUCACUUUACUAGGGGUGCAUGGAGAUUUUGUAAGCACAAAAGAAACAGUUACACCUUGUGUAGAAAUUAUGUGGCUAGUGUUGUGGAAAUUGAAUUGUGGAGAGGAUGUGCAUUUUCCCCAGAACAUGUGCAGUGUAUAUUGUAGCAGAGGUAAAAGAAAUGCAAACCUACCAAUAUAGGUUGUGUUGUCUCUUUCAGAUCACUGGGUGUUUGAAAGCAGGAGUUAGAAGUAAAAGGCAAUCAAAAGUCUGGGAAAGUUAAUUGUGUCCCUUUUUACAUAAGAAUUUUUAAGCUGUGGAUAGCUUUGGAUCUGGAAGCAAGCCAGAAAGCAUCUGUAUUAAUGCAAUUUUCUAACUAAUAAGGUAGAAGCCACUGAAACCUGGGCUGCCUAUGAAACAAAUACAAGGAAAUAUGGGGUAAUUCCUCUGUUUUGUCUAAAAUCAACAAGAGUAUGUGUGUAUAUAAAGGAAAUAUUUUAAGCAAUGACUGACUACCCAGAAGGGGUAGACCUCUGUUCUUUUGUCUUUCAGAUCAUCAGAGAAAACGGAUGCCAGCUGAACAGCAUUCAAUGUACCAUGCAUUUACUGGUUAAAAGAAGCCAAGAAGGGGAGAAGGAAAAAGAACAGAACGAGUUAACUGAGGAAAAAUAGCUAGCAAGCUCAGUCCAAAGAUAAGAUGCUGGCACCAUCCAAGGACACUGCCCACAGCUAAGACUUGGCUGAUAGCCAAGAAAAGGGGGGGCCUGAAUGUGCCCAAGCAACUAUGAGAUCUGAAAAAUACUGCCAGGCAUUAAUGAAAUGUGUUAGGUUUCUUUUCUCACAGAUAAAAGAAGUGCUACCCAAAGACCCUAGCAGCCCUGCCAUUCAUUGAAACAAGGAGACUGAGUCUACGUAAAGUCCAUCAACGAAAGACUGCUUUGGCUCCACACUGGAAAGGCCCUUUCCAAGUCCUGUUAACCACCACCACCACUGUGAAGUGCCAAGGACUACCUGCCUGGACCCAUGCUUCUCACUGUAAAAAGACCCCUCCACCUCGGGAGGACUCUCUGACUGAUGAUAAGCCUAUUUCUCCUUCUAGCUCUGCUGUGUCUUCUGGACAGCAGGAAAAAGAAAGAAAGAAAAAAAAAGACAAGGUGAAGUGCUAGUAACCUCUCCCUUGUCCACUGACAGACCUACUGUGCCUCUGGAUUUUUCUAGAAGAAGCAAAACCAUUACAGGGUGAUGUGCUAGUAACCUCUCCCCUGUAUGAUGCUAAACCACACUGUUUCAGGAAAAGAGAAGAAGGAACACUUGCUUCACUGAAACCACAAAGUCCAGGGAUUCCUGACUAGAAGAGACAUUAAGAACUGACCCUGGUGAAGAAACAAAGAAUUAUACACUGGCAGGAAGAAACUUGUGGGACCCAUGCUUGGGAACGUGGUAUUGAUUGGAUUUUGGGGUUUAUUCUACAGGCUGCGCCCUGUGUUUUGGAUAAGUCCUUCAGCAUGUAUUGCCCUCCCUAAUUGGAUUUUAAAUGAUAAGUACCAAAGGCACCUUGUUGCCAUUGCCCCUGCCAUCUCCUCCAUUACACUAUUACCCCAUAACACAUCCAAAUACAGACAAUGCCAUAUAUUUGAUAAAAACCAAUGACUAAGGCCUUCAGACUUUAGUGAUUUAUUUAAAUAUUGUUUGAAAAAAAUAUAUUUUUAAGGUUCAGGAUAUCCCAUAUAAGCGAACAAUUGAAUGGAUCAGUGGAGAUAAAAGUAUAUGAUAUCACUACCAGUGAACCCCAAGAAUUUAUAAUUGCUCACAGGGGGCUGCCAUUAGAUUAGCACAACAGAGGGCUUGGGUUAUUUCCUCUAGAAAGAAGAGAGACUUGACCGGAUCCCUUUGGGAUGGGGCCAAUAAUGCAGCAGCAGUUUGGAAUAUUUUUAAGAACCAAGAACAUGAUGAGAAAUUGGGGCAACUAGAGAAGGCCAUUGGCCUUGUUUCUGGAGCACAACUAACCCAGGUACAGGCUGGAGUUGAUGAGUUACAUGUUAUUUCCGCCCUUAGUUCAAUGACCCAGAAGUUGCUGACAGAGAUGGUAUUGAAUAUCACUGAGGCUGGGAAGGCAUUGCAGUGGGAUCUAGCAUGCUCAGAGAUUCAGGAUUUCUUGAAUGACCAGCUAAUGGCCAUUCGGAAUGAUCUAGAGCACCAGGCUUGGCCCACUGCCCUUACAGACACAUCAGGAAUACCAUCUGAUCUGUGGCCAUGGAGACAUACUUGGAAACUUUCUGGGUGGAAGUGUGGACGUUCUCAGUGCUCCUUCCAAGAAUAUGGACCGGUUCAGGGGGUGUGGGCUCCCACAUACCGAAUCCUGCCGGGUCCGUGGGGAGGAUGCAUGUGGGAUUGGGUAAUUCACCGAGACAUCUGGGAAAUUAGACCUCCUGGUAUGCCCAAUCGAUUUUUAGUCAGUGCUCCUGGGAUUACAUCUGACAUUUGGAUGGGGUUAGGGAGUCAAUGGACAUUUUGGCCGUUACAACCCCCACAGCUUCAGUGUAUCCGUAAACUGAAGCCAGGAGAAGUUGUUACUCUUCAUGACUACGUUUGCUGGGAGGGUAGGGGACAAGGAACUACCCUGACAGGACACUUAUUUUUUAAGCUAAUGAUAGCUGUGUGUAUGUUAAAGCCACCACAUUGCAAGACAUACAUUUUAAUCUCAUUACCACUGCAGGCAAUCAUAUUAUUUACUGGCCUGCAGAUAGAAUUUUGCAAGUAGUCCUUAGGUUCCAGAUACCCUUUAAUUGGACUAGUUUAGUACCUGAUCAAUUUCAAAAUUUGCUUUCACUGUUACCAGAGGUUCAGAAAAUCUCUGAAGUACAAGGGCAAAUUCACAUGCUUCAAAAUAUGUAUCAAGUUAAAAAGUAUGCCUUUCAGACAGCUUAUAGAGUAUCCACCUUAUGUACUAAGUAUGAUGUAUUGUGUUAUAUGACUAAGAUUGUACAACAACCCCAUCAUAUUAUCGCUAUGGGAAUGUUAUUGCUUGUGUUGUGCAGGAGUAUGUUGUUGUUGUUGUAAAGGACGUAAUAAUAGUAAUACCUUUCAUGUCCAUGCUCAUCAUGCAUUGUCAUUACAUCCAAUCAAAACCCCUAAGGUUGAAGCAUCUGAUGUAGAAUCUGAAUUCCGAGAUUUAAUGCAAAUAGAGAUUUGAAA